rnacentral:snRNA from 1 species
GUGAUUUUGACUUAUAACAAAUGCUAACGGUUCGAUAGUACAGAGAAGAUUAGCAUGGCCCCUGCACUAAGGAUGACACGCUCAAUCAAAGAGAAGCUACCAAUUUUU